CUGUACUUUUUCUGUUGAAGAACUCCGGGCCACUUAUUGCAACAAGCUCCCUAGAAAAAUUUACAGCGGCUACAUACCCCGCGUCUCGAAUAUAGCUGGUUUCUUUAGAUUAUUAUCUCAGUAAAGCAAUUACAACUAAUAUGUUAAUAUAUAAAGGACAAGCUUUAUAUAGCAAGCCAUAGCCGCAUUAACUUAUAGCUAAUAGUAGGCUUAUAAGUAGCCACCAAAUUAUAGUGUCACAACUAAUCUUAAUGUAAGAAUAAUUAUUUAACCUAUGCAACAUAUAUAAAGAAAUUUAGACUAACUUCCUCUAAAAUUAUUCUGCUAAAAUUAGUAUUCAUUAAUUUAAAAUAUAACCUCUUAAAAUAAAUAACUUUUAUUAAAUCUAUAUCUUUUCAAGAAACUCGGCAAAUUCUAAUCUCAACUGUUUAUCAAAAACAUUGCCUUCUGGUCACCCAUAGAAGGUACAUCCUGCCCAGUGAAAAUUUUAAACGGCCGCGGUACCCUGACCGUGGCAAAGGUA
rnacentral:rRNA from 1 species